rnacentral:rRNA from 1 species
CAGCCAUCCGCGUGAAGGAUGACGGCCCUACUGGGUGUAAACUUCUUUUGUUCAGGGAUAAGCCGCUGCGAUGUGUGCAUAGUUGACGGUACUGUACGAAUAAGCACCGGCUAACUCCGUGCCAGCAGCCGCGGUAAUACGGAGGGUGCAAGCGUUGUCCGGAUUUAUUGGGUUUAAAGGGUGCGUAGGCGGCCUGGUAAGUCAGUGGUGAAAUCUCGUAGCUCAACUAUGAAGCUGCCAUUGAUACUGCAGGCCUUGAGUUGAUUUGAAGUGGCUGGAAUAGAUAGUGUAGCGGUGAAAUGCAUAGAUAUCAUUCAGAACACCGAUUGCGAAGGCAGGUCACUAAGAUCUAUCUGACGCUGAGGCACGAAAGCGUGGGGAGCGAACAGGAUUAGAUACCCUGGUAGUCCACGCCGUAAACGAUGAUGACUCGUUUUUGGGCUGUCGAGCUCAGAGACUUAGGGAAAGUGAUAAGUCAGCCACCUGGGGAGUACGUUGGCAAGAAUGAAACUCAAAGGAAUUGACGGGGGUCCGCACAAGCGGUGGAUCAUGUGGUUUAAUUCGAUGAUACGCGAGGAACCUUACCAAGACUUAAAUAGGAAAGAACAGGUCAGGAAACAGUCCCUUAUUAAUACUUUUUUCAAGGUUGUGCAUGGUCGUUGUUAGCUUGUUCUGGGAGGAGUUAGGUUAAAUCCCGCAACGAGCGCCACCCCUUUCGGUAGUUGCUCCCCAUAAGAUGAGGGGUCUAGUGAGCCGGCUUCCGCAAGUAGCGAGGAAGGUGGGGGGGACGUCAAAUCAUCAUGACCCCCACGUCUUGCACCACACCCCUAAUACAAUGACCGGUGCAGAGGACAGUUGCACAGCGAUGAGAUGCAAAUAUUCAAAACCAGUCUCAGUUAGGAUUGGAGUCUGUAACUCGCUUGUAUGAAGCUGGAAGGGAUAGUAAUCGCGCAUCAGUCAUGGCGCGGGGAAUACGUUCCCGGCCCUUCACACACCCCCCGCCAAGCCAUGGAAGUGAGGGGACAGAAGUCGGCACCGAACAGGACCCUAGGAAC